GCCCCGCUAGCUUAAUGGUAAAGCAGCCGCCUCUUAAGCGGAAGAUUGUACAGGUUCGAGUCCUGUGCGGGGCACCA
rnacentral:tRNA from 1 species